rnacentral:rRNA from 1 species
UUUUUGGUUUAGGGAUAGAGUGGAAAGGAAACGGUUAGAGGUAACGGACACAGCUCUGUAAGUCGAGAGGAUGAAAUCAGAGCGGUUGGGAGAGGCCGGCCCUCAUUCGGCUGUUUGAUUUUUCGUUUCGUGCGUGAUAGGCGUAGAACGUCGCAACUCGAUUGAUUUGUAACAGAAGGGUUGCGUGAUUUGUUCGACGCGGUUCUCACGUUUUUCGCGAUAUAUGUGUGUGGAGUCGGUAGCGAUGCCGUGCUUUGAUAGUUAGGCGAUAAGAGUAACAGCUUGCGUUUUGAGAUAUUCACGCUGGAAGCGUCGCUCGUUUACGAAGAAUUUUCGGGUCUUUUUCCGCCCUGUCUUAAAACCCGGCCCAAGGAGUUUAACGUACGCGCGAGUCGCGGGGUGUCGCGACCCCCCAGUUUCGCGGUAAGAGUGUAAACCAGAGUAGGCGAAAUGAAGGUGAGCGCGCUCGCUUCGCGAUCGGGGGGAUGACGGCGAUUCCCACAAACUCUUGUCGUCUGUGAGAUGUCGACGGAGAAAGCUCGCACUCCCGGGGCGCUCAAGAUGGCGCGUCGGUGCGCGGUUCGCCGCGUAUUCGACCACUUAGGGCCCACCCGUAGCGUAUACGUUGGUACCCGAAAGAUGGUGAACUACCCCCGCCCAGGAAGAAGUCAGGGGAAACAGGGGGGGAGGUCCGUAGCGGUUCUGACGUGCAAAUCGAUCGUAUGAGCUGAGUAGGGGGCGAACGACAACCCCCCC